rnacentral:misc_RNA from 1 species
UACGGAGGGUGCAAGCGUUGUCCGGAAUCAUUGGGUGUAAAGGGUGCGUAGGCGGGGGCUUAAGUCGAGGGUGAAAUCUCGCCGCUUAACGGUAAAAUGGCCUUCGAUACUGAGUCUCUUGAGUUCAGAAGAGGUCGGUGGAAUUCGUGGUGUAGCGGUGAAAUGCAUAGAGAUCACGAAGAACACCAGUGGCGAAGGCGGCCGACUGGUCUGGGACUGACCCUGAGGCACGAGAGCGUGGGGAGCGAACAGG